rnacentral:rRNA from 1 species
GUCUUAUUGAGUAUAAUUUUAAGUCUAACCUGCCCACUGAUUAAUAUUAAAUGGCCGCGGUAUUUUGACCGUGCAAAGGUAGCAUAAUCAUUAGUUUUUUAAUUGAAAGCUGGAAUGAAAGGUUGAAUGAAAAAAUUACUGUCUCUAUUUAAAAGUUAGAAUUUUAUUUUUAAGUUAAAAAGCUUAAAUUAAAUUAAAAGACGAGAAGACCCUAUAGAGUUUUAUAUUAAUUUUUAAAUAAUUUUUUAGAAUUAAUAAUUUAUUUAUAUGUUAAUAUUAAAUUGGGGUGAUUGAAAAAUUUAAUAAACUUUUUUUUUAUUUUUACAUUUAUUUAUGAAAAAUUGAUCCAUUAUUUAUGAUUAUAAGAUUAAAUUACCUUAGGGAUAACAGCGUAAUUUUUUUUAAGAGUUCUUAUCGAAAAAAAAGUUUGCGACCUCGAUGUUGGAUUAAAAUUAAUUUUUGGUGUAGAAGCUAAGAAUUUUAGGUCUGUUCGACCUUUAAAAUUUUACA